AGCGAACGCUGGCGGCAGGCCUAACACAUGCAAGUCGAACGAAGUCUUCGGACUUAGUGGCGGACGGGUGAGUAACACGUGGGAACGUGCCUUUAGGUUCGGAAUAACUCAGGGCAACUUGUGCUAAUACCGAAUGUGCCCUUCGGGGGAAAGAUUUAUCGCCUUUAGAGCGGCCCGCUUCUGAUUAGCUAGUUGGGGAGGUAAUGGCUCACCAAGGCUACGAACAGUAGCUGGUCUGAGAGGCUGACCAGCCACAUUGGGACUGAGACACGGCCCAAACUCCUACGGGAGGCAGCAGUGGGGAAUCUUGCGCAAUGGGCGAAAGCCUGACGCAGCCAUGCCGCGUGGAUGAUGAAGGUCUUAGGAUUGUAAAAUCCUUUCACCGGUGAAGAUAAUGACUGUAGCCGGAGAAGAAGCCCCGGCUGACUUCGUGCCAGCAGCCGCCGUAAGAC
rnacentral:rRNA from 1 species